CAACAACAAAAAUGGUUGUCUGCCCGGGAUAUUUAAAACUUCAACUUCUUUUUGAUUCACAAAACCUUUGGACGCGUGUAGAUAACUGUCAGCAGAAGGAGGAGGUGAGGAGUUGUAACUACUUGGAAAGACAUUCCAUUCAUGAUCAUUUGGAUGGAUCUCUCCUACGGAGCAUUCGGAUAUAUGGAUUUGCAGCCGUCUAUCCUUAUAUGAAUAACUAAUUAACAUACCUUUUGAUACUCUCCUCAAUGUCAUGGUUUGUUAAAAGAAUCUCGACUCUUAUCGAGAUAUCCCUUGAGCAAAUACUUCACUCUGUGGAUUUCCUCUCCUUUAAUAGAAGGAUCGUUCAUUGUAUAUGUUCCUCUUCUUUUUAAGAAUCAUCGUAUACUUCUACAUAUAAGAACUAAGGAGUUCGAAUAAACGACAGAAAUACCCGGUGAGGAGCAGAGAGAUUUAUCAUCUUCCAUCCACACCUCCUUCGUUGAAAUUAUUGAAAGUCAAUUCUGCUUCGUCUCCUCAGAAAACUAUUUCAUUAAUAAGUGUCCUUCAGUGGCAUUUAUCUAUAUAAUAUAUUUCAAUCUAUCAAUCAUCUUAAUAUCUAUUCCAUUUAUAAGUUGGUCUUUGUGAUAUAUGUUCUAUAUGUGAAAUUAUAUAUCCUGGACCCUU
rnacentral:lncRNA from 1 species